AUACAGAGGGUGCGAGCGUUAAUCGGAAUUACUGGGCGUAAAGCGCGCGUAGGCGGUUUGUUAAGUCAGAUGUGAAAGCCCCAGGCUCAACCUGGGAACUGCAUUUGAAACUGGAAGGCUAGAGUGUGGUAGAGGGAAGUGGAAUUUCAGGUGUAGCGGUGAAAUGCGUAGAUAUCUGAAGGAACAUCAGUGGCGAAGGCGACUUCCUGGACCAACACUGACGCUGAGGUGCGAAAGCGUGGGUAGCAAACAGGAUUAGAAACCCUAGUAGUCC
rnacentral:rRNA from 1 species